rnacentral:rRNA from 1 species
UGCCAGCCGCCGCGGCAAUACGUAGGGUCCAAGCGUUAAUCGGAAUUACUGGGCGUAAAGCGUGCGCAGGCGGUUGUGCAAGACCGAUGUGAAAUCCCCGGGCUUAACCUGGGAAUUGCAUUGGUGACUGCACGGCUAGAGUGUGUCAGAGGGGGGGUAGAAUUCCACGUGUAGCAGUGAAAUGCGUAGAGAUGUGGAGGAAUACCGAUGGCGAAGGCAGCCCCCUGGGAUAACACUGACGCUCAUGCACGAAAGCGUGGGGAGCAAACAGGAUUAGAUACCCUGGUAGUCCACCCCCUAAACGAUGUCAACUAGUUGUUGGGGAUUCAUUUCCUUAGUAACGUAGCUAACGCGUGAAGUUGACCGCCCGGGGAGUACGGUCGCAAGAUUAAAACUUAAAGAUAGUGAC